CGGAAAGCCUUGGCCUCCUUCCUCCAUCUUGUUAGCUGGGAGAUUUGGAAGGAGUGAAAUGCACGCGUGGUCAGGACCAAGGCGGCACCGGUGGCAGUGAUCGUGCAGACUAUUAAGGAGGAGGCUUCUAUCUAGGCUCUGGCAGGAGCCAGACAUUUGCGUAAUUUGAUGCCGUGAGAGUAG
rnacentral:rRNA from 1 species